rnacentral:tRNA from 1 species
GCCUUCGUUGUGUAGUGGUCUUCAUGUUCGACGCGUAACCGAGAGGUCCGUGGUUCGAUUCCCGGCAAAGGCG